AGACUGAACGCUGGCGGCAUGCCUAACACAUGCAAGUCGAACGGCAGCGCGGGGAGCAAUCCCUGGCGGCGAGUGGCGGACGGGUGAGGAAUACAUCGGAAUCUACCCUGUCGUGGGGGAUAACCAAGCGAAAGCUUGGCUAAUACCGCAUACGACCGUGAGGUGAAAGCGGAGGACCUUCGGGCUUCGCGCGAUUGGAUGAGCCGAUGUCGGAUUAGCUAGUUGGCGGGGUAAGAGCCACCAAGGCGACGAUCCGUAGCUGGUCUGAGAGGAUGAUCAGCCACACUGGGACUGAGACACGGCCCAGACUCCUACGGGAGGCAGCAGUGGGGAAUA
rnacentral:rRNA from 1 species